CUGGAGUGGGCUGCCAUUUCCUUCUCCAGUGUGUGAAAGUGAAGUCGCUCAGUUGUGUCCGACUUUUGGCAGCCCCAUGGACUGCAGCCCACCAGGCUCCUCUGUCCAUGGGAUUUUCCAGGCAAGAGUACUGGAGUGGGGUGCCAUUGCCUUCUCCAUUCUAACAGUCUACACAUCUGUAUUGAGGAGUGUGUAUCUGUAGUACCUGCUUACAUGUUAAAUCAUCACAGUAUUUUUUGGAUCAGACACCAGGACUCAUUUCAGCUUCACUAGUUGGUCUGUAUUUGUAAACACCCAUAAUCCUUAUAGUUAAGGGAAAGUAUGUACUUAAAAUACAAAAUGGGAGUUUUAAAAAAUAGCAAUUUAUUUGUUUAUAAGGAUAAUGUGGGCAGUUGUGAGUGCCUUUCAAUUUUACGAUCUUCUACAUGGAGCUUAAAGCUUCAAAAAAUGUGUUAUCUUACCACCUUAUAUAUAUAAGUUAAAAUAUAUAAACAAAUGGAUAAGGAAAUGGCACCCCACUCCAGUGUUCUCGCCUGGAGAAUCUCAGGGAUGGGGGAGCCUGAUGGGCUGCCGUCUAUGGGGUCACACAGAGUCGGACACGACUGAAGCGACUUAGCAUACAAGCUAAACCUGGUGGCUCAGCUGGUAAAGAAUCCGCCUGCAAUGCAGGAGACCCUGGUUCGAUUCCUGGGUCAGGAAGAUCCCCUGGAGAAGGGAUAGGCUACCCACUACAGUAUUCUUGGGCUUCCCUGGUGGCUCAGCUGGUAAAGAAUCCGCCUGCAAUGCAGGAGACUUGGGUUCAAUCCCUGAGCUGGGAAGAUCCCGUGGAGAAGGGAACAACUACCUGCUCCAGUAUUCUGGCCUGGAGGAUCCCAUGGACUAUACAGUGUUGCAAAGAGUCAGACACAACUGAGUGACUUUCAUUUUCACUUUCACACAUUGCUUAUGGUUGAUCAAGCAGGAUAUACAGUAAAAGUUGACAUUGGAGAUUAGGGGAAAAUAUGUGUAGUUUUAAUAGUAAAAAUACAUAACACAUAACAUGAAUUUAGCUUAAGAUUUUUUUUUUUAAUUAAGGAUAUUACUUUGGGAUUUCGUUGUUGUUGUUGUUGCUUAUCCUUUUGCUGGAUUUUUGGCUCAUUUGGAGACCUGCGUAGAAGACGCCAUGCAAAUUCAAAAUAAAAUGAGUAAUGAAAAAUCUGCUUGUCUAAGGGUCUGAAAGACCAGGAAAUGUCCAUCUGAGUUUCAAAAUAAAGGCAAAACCUGGGACUUGUAGAAAGAAAGAGAAAGCUUACUUUGAAGUGAACAUGAGCCGGCUUCUAAGAAAAAAUGUUUGCCUUCUUCUUUGGAAGAAUAAUUAGGAAAACCUUUACCAGGUCAUAUUUGGGGAUUUCCAUGGAUAUGAAAAAGACGGUGAGCAUGGUUCACAGGUGAGGUUGGAAGCGAAGACAUCGGUGAUGGCCAGAUACGGGCUUUCUGAAGUUAUUAUAAAUGAGUGAAUACAGUGGUGCUUCGCACUUUCCUACACACUUUAAUUUUUUGUUAUGAUUGUGGUGCUGGUGUCUGAUCUCAGUAAACUCUGCUUUGCUGGAAGUGGUGCUUUUCUGCCUCCUGCUUUGCAUUUCGCCCUGGGAGAAGCGUGUCUGAGUUGGGAGGACCUGAAUAUCGCUCUUUGUUGCUGAGCUUGUCAAGCACAGCACUGUGUUCUCUUUCCCACCAGGAAGGUCAGGCCACUGGGGGCCGAUCUGCUGUCUGAAAUGAACCCUACUGUCUGUCCCUGGUGUCUGACAGAUUGAGACAGUUGUCUGUGUUACAGCGCUUUCAAUGCUUUUUAAAUGCCUCAUUUUCUGAGAGAAAGGUAAUGGAUGUAGGCUCCAUUGAAAAGAUAAAAUUUUUUCUAAGGGCUGGAUUUUGGGUGUUAAUAUUUAUCUAAAAGGAAAAUUUAAUUAACUUUCUAAGAACAUAUUUACAGAUUCAGGAAGGUAAGUGUGUGUACUGUAUGGGCACGCACGCACACACACACACAUACUCGUACCAAGAUAAGCCUUCACUUAUGAGUUCUACUUCUAAAGACUUAUAUUGUGGGGGAUUUUUUAAUUGGAGUAAUAAAAUUGUGAAGUAUGGAACUGUUUCAAUAGUAGAAUUGUCAAAGUAAGGGCCUUUUGUUCACUGAGAUUUCAGUUCCAUGUGUUUUGAUCCGAGGUAUGUAUAAAGCCUGAAGAAAUUUGUACUGUGCUGAGCCUCAAUUCAAUACUCUCCAGAUAAUUGAGCUAAUUAAAUCUUUACCAACAUUAACACAACUCCGGCAUUCCUUGGACAGUGGAUAAUUAUUGUAUGAACAUGGCGAGCUUAAACUAAACAGAUGAAAAUAGAGUUCUGUGGAAUGGGUAUUGAGUUUAUUCUUUAGUCAUCUUUUGAUAAGGUUUAAUUAAAACUGCCUCUCUCCAUUGCGGUGAGAAUGAAUGUGCUUGUUUUCUUAGUGAAAAGCAAAUUAUUCACUUCAGCCAUGGUUCAAUAAUCAAAGCCUUUGCAAAGUUUUGGGUUAUAGUGUAGCUAUGGGGAUAUAAUUGCUGCAAUUCUGUAUGAAGGCUUUAUCUUUUAUUACUUUCUCUUAUUUAUUUUUGUAAAAAGAAACUUAUAAAAGCCCAUUUGGGGAUUUGGUGUGGAAGUACAUAUGUUUGGAGUCUUAUUGUAGGUUGGCAUGGCUAGAUUUUUCAUUUUAAGGUGUAUUUCUUACAACCUCUUGUUUGAAUGAAACAUAGAAAGGGACACAUCUUUAAAUAGUUGGUAUUUGAGACUGAUCUUUCAAGUUAGUGAAGAAAUUCAAUGAUACCUUGAAAUCCUGUGGCUGCCGCUAGACGGACGUAGUGCUAAGGGUGGAAAAGUAAUCGACAUUGGGAGCUCUUUCUGCAAACGUGUGUAUUUGCAUUCUCUUUCACUUUCUUUAAAUUCAACAAAAAUAUUUUCUAUAUUCUUCUUUUAAAGGGUUUUUUGUUUUUAUGUUGGUGAUACUUUUGUAGCAUAAACAGAUUUUAUGUAUACUAAUGACAGCUUAUUUUCAGACUUGCUGUCAUGAAGACUUGCUAGACUUCUUUCUUUCUUUCGAUGGGAGAAGUAGCUUUAUUUAGAGAGAUGCAUGCUCCACAGACAGAAUGUGGGCCAUCUCAGAAGGCAAGAGGCUGUCCUAGGUUUCUUCUUGUCCAUUCUUUCUUCUUCUUUCUAGUAGAAUGGGAGAGUACAAGGAUACAGGAUGUUUGUGGAACCAAGGACAGAAAGCAAGCUGUGCCUUGCGCAUAAACCGGAAGUCCACAAAAGGAGUCAAGUACAGACACACUCUUUCUCCUUCUGCAUCUUUCCGUUGUCUCGAUUCCGGCUUUGCCUGCUUCUCUGGCCAUGCAGUGGAAACGAAGCCGACUUGUCCCAAGGUUUGUCAUAAGAAAAGUUAAAAAGACAUCUCUCUUGGCCAGCAUUCCAAUUCCCCGCAAAGGAAAUCUGCCCUCCUUAGAUCAAGUGAAUCAGCCUGAAAUCCAAGUUUUAGUGCCUCCACUUACCACUUCUUUUUUUUAAACGUUAUUUAUUAAUUUAUUGUUUGGCUGUGCCAGAUCUUCAUUGCUGUCUGUGAGCGGUCUCUAGUUGUGGGGUGAGGGCUUCUUGUUUGGGGGCACAGGCUGCAGGCACACAGGCUCAGUAGUUGUGGCACACAGGCUUGGUUGCCCUGAGGCGUGUGGGAUCUUAGUUCCUUGGCCAGGGGUUGAACCAGGGUCCCCUGCAUUGCAAGGCAGAUUCUUAACUACAGGACCAUCAUAGAAGCUCACUUGCCACAUCUUUUCUUCAUCAGUUUCUUGGAGAGGAAGGACAUGCAAAUAUGAGCUAAAAGUUUCUUCUUUAGAAUUAUUUUGAGGGUGAAGUCAUUAAAUGCCAUGGUUUUCAACUUACUCUCAGGGGCAAUAUCAGUCUCACGGACUGGAAAUAGUGUUUCUUAAAUGGAAUAGUCUAGACGAGAAAGGAAAAUGUUAAAGAUGAUCAAGUGUAUUAGGAAUAAAGAUUAUUUCAUCCAAGUUUUGUCUUAGUGACGUGUGUGUGUGUGUGUGUGUGUGUGUCUGUGUGGAUGUAAGUGCUCCUAUACUGAGUCACUUAGUCAAAUGUGUUUUGACAGUGAGUUGUGCCCAAAACGAGUUUGCAAGCCAGUGACUGCUCCUCAGAUCCCCUUCAAGGUUUUUUUGGGGGAGGCAAGGGAGGGAGGCGCCCACUGGGAAGGAGUCCAAGCCCCUCGCUCUCCCCAUCAGAGCAGGUCCUCUUUAAUCUGCUUUGUACUUUAUGUUUCCACCUAAAAUAUCUUCUAAACAAAGGAUGUAGUGACCAGAAGUUUGCAUAAGUGAUUUCCCAGGUCCCUUCUUGGGAUUUUUAGAGCUAAGUACGGUAAUGACCAGGAGCGGAUCAGGAAUUAUUUUGGUGUUCUACGUGAAGGAUGGCUUGAGAAGCCAUCCAGCCCUCAUUUGCUUGAGGUAUUUUUUUUCCCUGUCUUUCUAACUCUGAAAUGCAGUUUCCCUACUUAAUCCUAUAGAAAACUGUGAGACUUAGCAUAUAACCAAGACAACACUAAAUCUGAGUAGACUUGAAGCAGCCUUAUUAUUUUUAAAAAAGGAAAAACAGCGAGUCCUCCUCCCGGCCCUUCCCCUGUCCAGUUCUUUAGGGAGGGAUGAAAAGCAGAAGUGAGCAGUGGUGACAUGAGAGAGAAAGAGGUUGCAGCUCCAUCACGUGCUACUCAGAGAAGUGAGCAUCCGGGGGAAAGACAGCUUCUUUAAUGCAAAUAAAUAGUGUGAAAGUGGAAGUCGCUAAGUCAUGUCCAAGUCUUUGUGACCCCAGGGACUGUCCAUGCAAUUCUCUAGGCCAGAAUACUGGAGUAGAAGGGCUAGGCCACGCACUCCAGUAUUCUUCCUUUGUGGGUCCCUUCCAGUGGGAAGCCUUCCAGUGGGCUUCCCUGGUGGCUCAGCUGGUAAAGAAUCCGCCAGCAAUGCAGGAGACCUGGGUUCAAUCCCUGGGCUGGGAAGAUCCCCUGGAGAAGGGAAAGAAGAGAAAGGAAAUAGUAAGAAAACAAGACUAACCAAGAAAACAAGCUAAAGGGCAUCUUAUAGAACCUCCUUUGGGAAGUUGCAGUAGGUUUAGCUGACCCUUGUUUCUGCCCUUGACAUUGUGGAGAGGCAGACUGUCCUAAGAGCUUUGCUCUCAUGCUGAGCUCUUUUGUUUAAUUUUAGGUCCUGUUUUGCCUAUUUGCAUACACACCCAAGAGUGGGACCUUACUUGGUGAACAUUGGUUAGUCAUUCAUUGCAUUCACACCUGUCCUGUUAGCAGUGGACUUCACUUGGUCCAAGCAGCUCUCUUUAACUCACAGAAGCUGUGUAGGCUAGGGAUGAAGAUCUCUGACUUGGGUCAGCCACCUCGGCUUUGAGACUACACUGCACUACUUAACAGUUCCGUGACCCAGGCUAAGUCUUAACCUUCUCAAGCCUCCAAAUUUUUCCAUCUGUAAAUCAGAACUACAACUAGUGUCUGUCUUAUCAGCUUGUUGUACAAAUUAAAUGGGAUGAUAAUGUAUUUAGCAUAGUGGCUUGCUUGGUUCAUAACAGGCACUCAGUAACUGUUAUGAAUCCCAAAUUUCAUGAAGUGUGUGAUACGAAAGACAUAUUAACUUGAAUUCUUGUGUGAUAAUCAUUUUUCAUUUAUCUUUCCAUUUGCUGCUGUUGUUUAGUCUUAAAAUCAUGUCAGACUCUUUUGCAAUCCCAUGGACUGUGGCCAUCCAGGCUCUUCUGUCCUUGGGAUUUUCCAGGCAAUAAUACUAGAAUGGGAAAUAGCAACCUACUCCAGUUUUCUUGCCUGGAGAAUCCAUGGACAGAGGAGCCUGGUGGGCUACAGUCCAUGGGGUCGCAGAGUCAGACAUGACUUAAUGACUAAACAACAAGAGAUCUUACAUAAAAAUCUUUAUUUUUCUACAGCUCACUAAAAACAUAAAUAAAAGGGUGAACAAGCCAUUCUGGGCAUUCUCUAACCACAGUGUCUGGCAAGGGUUGAGUAGAGGCUGCCUUUUUAGGAAAGGCUGUGUUCUGAAAUUUGCUACAGUCCCUGGCACUCACAGGUGUCCUGCCAGGGAGGGUGAGAAGCAGUUGCUGUUUACCUUCAUCUUUUGUCUGUUGUUUAUCUUACAGUAGAGGGAAAAGAAAAAUGAAAUAGUUCUUGUAACUGUAUCUCUGUCCUAAAUGACAAAUGUGAAAAUAGCCCAAAGGAGCCUUUGUUGCAAGAAGAAUUGGCAAGAACAUACUUCUUUGUAUAAGUAACUAGCGCCUUUCGCUCACUAGUCUCUUGGCCCUUAGAAUCUUUUCUAUUUAACAAUUAAUCAGGUUCACUGUUAUAUGUGUUUAUGUUUGCAUAUAGUUUCCAGGGAACCAGGAGCAAAAUGAAAAGAGUUUAGCAAGUUUGUAGGGAAGAAAGAUAUUCGUGGAAGUAAAGGGCCCAGAUGAAUGAGAACCAGAAGAAAGCUGGCAAACAUUUAUGCCAGUGAAUCUCAUAGAUGGCCUUGGGAGAGAGGCCAGGGCAUGGUGGUGCUGGUCAGCUCGGCCUCCCGUAACAGAGUGCCGUGGCUGGCUGCUUUCAGUGACUGGCGUGACUCCUGAUGAGGCUCUCUUCCGGGCUUACAGACAGCCGCCUUCUGACUGUGUUGUCACAUGGCAUGGUGGGGUUGGGGGGUGGAUAUCUGACCCUUCUUAUAAGAGCACUAAUCCUGGGGCUUCACUGGUUCUCCUGUAGUUAAGAAUCCGCCCUGCGAUGCAGGGGACACCGGUUCCAUCCCUGAUCCAAGAAGACACCACGAGGCAACUGAGCCCACGUCCCACAACUACUCAGCCCAUGCUCCGAAACAAGAGUAGCCCCCACUCACCAAAACUAGAGCAAGCCCACACAUAGCAACAAAGACCCAGCAGAGCCAAACAUUAAAAAAAAUAAGUAUAUAAAAUUAAAAGAAAAGACACUAAUCCUAUCAUGGGGAUCCCACCCUCGUGAAUUCAUCUAAACCUAAUUGAUCUACCAAAGGCCCCACCUUGGGAAUGAGGGCUUCAACAUGAAUUUUGGGGGGCGCAUUCAGUCCAUUACAGUGGUCACUAUUGCCAAGCAGUUUACAGUGCAGUAAAUGGCAUGAGAUACAGAUGAUUAAAUCAAGGUAAAACGUGAAUACUGUUUGUUAUACAUGCCUAAAUAAAAUGCAAUCAAAAAAGAAGGGACAGACCUCACUGAGUCAGGGGAUGCUUCAUGGAGAAGAGAGCAUCUGGGCUAAAGCUUGAAGCCUAGUGGGAAGCUGCUGUAGGAUACAGGGAGCUCAGCUCUGUGCUCCGUGAUGAC
ensembl:lncRNA